AUUUUCAGCGAUGGAUGUCUUGGCUCGCGCAACGAUGAAGGACGCAGUGAAAUGCGAAACGCAAUGUAAAUUGCAGAGUUCAGGGAAUCAUCAGAUUUCUGAACGCAAAUGGCACCUU
rnacentral:rRNA from 1 species